CGCUGAUGGCCGGGCUUCGGGACAAGCCAGGGUCGAGUCCACACUAACAGAAGCCGGGUCUCCUCAGGACCCGCUGGGCCUUCAGCUUUGGGACACCGUGGGGUCCAGUUCAUGCUGACAGGAGCCUGGUCUCCUCAGGACCUGCUGGGAGGUGAUGCCGCUGAGGGAGAAGGUAAUCCACAGGACCCAAGAGAUGGUAGCUACUAAUAUACUCUUCCCACGGUGCCUCUUCAUACCAUGCGGAGUCCUACAAGGGAAAUAAGUAUCACAACUUUGGUUGAACGUGGUCUGGGUAUUUUCUCCCAAACAGUGAGCACAGGUUCUGGAACAACUGGAUACCCACAUGCAGAAGAGUAAAGUUGGACGCUUACCUCCCCCAACCCCAUAUACAAAAUCAACGCAAAAUGGACCAAAGGCCUAGAUGCAAGAACCAAAAUUAUAAAACUCGUAGAAGAAAACAUGAGAGUACAUCUUCAUGACCUUGGAUUUGGUCAUGAUUUCUUAGAUCUACCAAAAGCACAAGCAACAAAAGACAAAAUAGAUGAAUUGGACUUCCUCAAGAUGAAAAACAGUUGUGUAUAAAAGGAGCAAGGAAUAAGAUAAUCCACCAUCCAAAAUGGCCCAAGAUGUUUGCAAACCAU